AGCUUAAGCCCCAUGUUUUUCCAGAAAGCUUAAUGGAGCCUGUGAAAAGGAGACCGAUUUUCUCCAUGACUUACUAAGUAUUCUUUUUUCAGAGCAUAUUCAGGAAACUUUGCAAGAUGAGCCUUGCAGAGUCUCAUGAAAAUUUCUGUCCCACCGGAGAAGAGCAGCUUGGAUAAGCAUGAGGUUCAUUAACUUUUGGGUGACCUUUUCACAGUAGAUACAUGACUGUUGCAGAAGCAGAAAAUGCAUGUAGCUGUGAGUAGAAAAGACGAGGCAGGUGCCUGCAGAAGGCUUCUCAGGAGUUCAAGCAAAGAAAUACCUUUGUCAUCUUCUGGUCCUACAACAAGAAGUUUUGAAGAGCUAUCCUCCAUCAGUGAAAUUCCAUUAAAGGCAUCAUAAGUACAUGUGAAGACUUAGUGGAUUUCAGGUUUUAGAAUUC